rfam:Solanum lycopersicum cultivar Heinz 1706 chromosome 4, whole genome shotgun sequence.
UUUUGCAGAUGAUGAUUUACUGUAAAUACUGAAUAAUCAUGUCGAUUAUAUACUCCGCUUAUUAUCUGAUGCUAUU